rnacentral:rRNA from 1 species
ACGAUUGACGGAGCGAAGCGACGUCAAUGCGUUUUACAAAGUCGAGUUGGCUUAGGGAUACGUUCGUUGGGUAGGGGAGCGUUCUGUAAGCCGUUGAAGGUGUGUCGUGAGGCAUGCUGGAGGUAUCAGAAGUGCGAAUGCUGACAUAAGUAACGAUAAAGCGGGUGAAAAGCCCGCUCGCCGGAAGACCAAGGGUUCCUGUCCAACGUUAAUCGGGGCAGGGUGAGUCGACCCCUAAGGCGAGGCCGAAAGGCGUAGUCGAUGGGAAACAGGUUAAUAUUCCUGUACUUGGUGUUACUGCGAAGGGGGGACGGAGAAGGCUAUGUUAGCCGGGCGACGGUUGUCCCGGUUUAAGCAUGUAGGCGGGUGUUCCAGGUAAAUCCGGAACGCUGUUAACGCUGAGGUGUGAUGACGAGGCACUACGGUGCUGAAGUAACAAAUGCCCUGCUUCCAGGAAAAGCCUCUAAGCAUCAGGUAACAUCAAAUCGUACCCCAAACCGACACAGGUGGUCAGGUAGAGAAUACCAAGGCGCUUGAGAGAACUCGGGUGAAGGAACUAGGCAAAAUGGUGCCGUAACUUCGGGAGAAGGCACGCUGAUGGUAGGUGAAGUGACUUGCUCAUGGAGCUGAAAUCAGUCGAAGAUACCAGCUGGCUGCAACUGUUUAUUAAAAACACAGCACUGUGCAAACACGAAAGUGGACGUAUACGGUGUGACGCCUGCCCGGUGCCGGAAGGUUAAUUGAUGGGGUUAGCCGUAAGGCGAAGCUCUUGAUCGAAGCCCCGGUAAACGGCGGCCGUAACUAUAACGGUCCUAAGGUAGCGAAAUUCCUUGUCGGGUAAGUUCCGACCUGCACGAAUGGCGUAAUGAUGGCCAGGCUGUCUCCACCCGAGACUCAGUGAAAUUGAACUCGCUGUGAAGAUGCAGUGUACCCGCGGCAAGACGGAAAGACCCCGUGAACCUUUACUAUAGCUUGACACUGAACACUGGUCCUUGAUGUGUAGGAUAGGUGGGAGGCUUUGAAGCGCGGACGCCAGUUCGUGUGGAGCCAACCUUGAAAUACCACCCUUUAAUGGCUGGUGUUCUAACGUAGACCCGUAAUCCGGGUUGCGGACAGUGUCUGGUGGGUAGUUUGACUGGGGCGGUCUCCUCCUAAAGAGUAACGGAGGAGCACGAAGGUUAGCUAAUCCUGGUCGGACAUCAGGAGGUUAGUGCAAAGGCAUAAGCUAGCUUGACUGCGAGAGUGACGGCUCGAGCAGGUGCGAAAGCAGGUC